rnacentral:misc_RNA from 1 species
GAAAUGCGAUAAGUAGUGUGAAUUGCAGAAUUCAGUGAAUCAUCGAAUCUUUGAACGCACAUUGCGCCCUCUGGCAUUCCGGGGGGCAUGCCUGUCCGAGCGUCAUUACGCACCCUCAAGCCCGGCUUGUGUGAUGGGCCCUGGCGUCUCGUUCGCGAGACGGGCCCGAAAGGCAGCGGCGGCGUCGACCCGAUGAGCCCGAGCGUAUGGGGACUUUUGUCACACGUUUGCGGUGCGGACCGGCGCCUGCUUGACUUUUCUGAUUAUCCAGGUUGACCUCGGAUCAGGUAGGGAUACCCGCUGAACUUAAG